rnacentral:rRNA from 1 species
GAUGAACGCUAGCGGCAGGCUUAACACAUGCAAGUCGAGGGGUAGAGGAAGCUUGCUUCCUUGAGACCGGCGCACGGUGCGUAACGCGUAUGCAAUCUACCUUAUACAGGGGGAUAGCCCAGAGAAAUUUGGAUUAAUACCCCAUAGUAUAGUUGAAUGGCAUCAUUUGAUUAUUAAAAGUUCCAACGGUAUAAGAUGAGCAUGCGUCCCAUUAGCUAGUUGGUGUGGUAACGGCACACCAAGGCGACGAUGGGUAGGGGUCCUGAGAGGGAGAUCCCCCACACUGGUACUGAGACACGGACCAGACUCCUACGGGAGGCAGCAGUGAGGAAUAUUGGUCAAUGGGCGCAAGCCUGAACCAGCCAUGCCGCGUGCAGGAUGACGGUCCUAUGGAUUGUAAACUGCUUUUGUACAGGAAGAAACACUCCCUCGUGAGGGAGCUUGACGGUACUGUAAGAAUAAGGAUCGGCUAACUCCGUGCCAGCAGCCGCGUAAUC